CAGGUCUCAGAGAUCCAAUCAGAGCCCUGCUACAGACCAGGAUGGAUCUCACUACGCUUCACUUUCACAUGGUGAUCUUUGCCUCUAUGACACAAUCAGAAGACCUGAAUAACCUGAAAAAGAUCAAUAAAGUUAUCUGAGCAGACAAAACCAAUCAAACAGAUGACGGAUAAAAAAAACAUCCUUGUUUGAACAGUUUUUGCAGCUUUUUUGUAAUCAUUACCUGCACUUUUGCUAUUAUUUACAGUGUUUUGUAGUUAACCCAGCAGUUCAUUCAAAGGAAAUGCAUCAUAUGGCUUUAAUAUUAUUUUGUAUUAGUUAAAAAAUGCUAUAUCAUUUGAAAUAUAUGACAUGUAAUUAAAAUGUUUGUAUUGAGAGUUUAUAUUCUGUAUUCAUUUGUUUUGUAGAUAACGUUAAAUGGAGGCUGAUUAAAAAAAGCAGCAAAAAGAGUCUGAAGUUUAAAUUAUUAGAGCUUCAGCACCCCAUAAAGUUAGCAUCUCUUAUGUUUUUUAUAACAAAGCUUUACUAGUUUAUUACA